GAUGCGGAGGGCCUGCUGG
rnacentral:misc_RNA from 1 species